GAGGUGAGUGGACCGCCGCCGAGGCCGAGCGAAGCUGACGCUGCACCGCAGCCAGGAGGCCGAGGAGCAGGGGGCGUCCACGAGAUUGCCGGCCGGGUUCUCGCGAGAUCGUCCCCCGCGAGGCUCCGCCCUCAAUUAAGAUAGGGUCUCAGUACCUCACAUUGUCCUGGAAGUUACUGUGUUGUCUGGGCUUCGCUCCCACCUCUACCAAUCCUCUGGCCUCAGCAUCUAGUAUGUUUCCACUGUUGUGCAACCAUCCACUGAGCCCGUCGUGUGACAGAGCUCACGUGGAGGGGGGAAAAGAGAGGAGGCUGGCGGAAGCCCUUUCUGAGGGGACUUUGCUGAUGACUGUCAGGACCCAGCAGAGACCAGAGGAUAGAAUAAUAUUCUAUCGCAGUGGACGUCCUGCUGGGGCUUGUUCAUUUGUCUCGGGUCAUGCUCUGGUGUUUGGGAGUGAACAAAUAAAUGCCUCAUUGAGCCCCUGCUCUUGCCUCUUCUGAGCAGCCACAUGGAAAUCAGGGUUGCAGGUUUGCUUCUGUUUGUUGAUUUAGGUAUGUGUCACACAGCCUUCUCUGAAGCUCCACCAUGCCGCCUUGCAGACACACUACCUCCUAGCCACACCCCAGCUCCAUGCACUUUCAUGUUUUUGAGAAUCAAUUCAAGACUUUUUUGUUUUUCUUGGUUUUUCAAGACAGGGUUUGUCUAUGUAGCCCAGGCUGUCCUGGAACUUGCUCGGUAGGCCAGGGUGGCCUUGAAUUUACAGAGGUCCUCCAGUCUCUGCCUCUCGAGUGCCACCAUGCCAUUGUUAAACCAAAGGCUCCAGGCGUGGUGACACACAGGCCUGGGAAGAUCGCAGUGAGCUCCAUGCCGGAUGGGAAGGGCUAUGCAGUCAGGCUGUCUCUAAAUAGAUAAAGAAGUAAAUCCAACAGAGCUCAGUCACAGAUUAUAGAGAAGUCACCUGUCCCCCAACCCUCAGGAGGCUGAGGAAGAAGGGGCUAGCCUGGGGUACAUACUGAGACUGUUUCAGAAAUCAAUCAAGGGUUGGGGUCUAACCUAGACGAGCUCAGCCCAUGAGACCCCACCCCAACACACUCAGUUAUUGUUUUAUAAAUUUGUCAAGUCGUUCACAGGCCCAGGUGCUGCGGAGGAAAGUACUGCGCUCAGAGUGACGUCGCCACAGGGGCCCCUCAGGAAGUCCUCCUCCUCCACCAGCUCCACCUGGAGCAGGUCUGGGACCCGGUUCCUGUUUCCCUCUGUCUCAGGGAGCAAACUUGGGUCCUCUACCUGCUGAGCCCUCCUGCUGACUCGCAGGCUCAUCUCCAGCUGCCUCCUCCCUGGUAGCCGAACACGGGUGCACUUCCAGGCAGGGAUUGCAGGCUGCGCGACAGGAGCGUGUCUUCCCGCAGCUCCAGCUGAACUUCAGCUCCAUGGACUCUCUUAUUGACUGUAAUGGACUGUAAUAAAUGCAGCCUCUGGAAGGUGUAAUUUCGGGAACUUUUAAGGCAGUGCACAGUGCACACCCAUGGAGCCAUUCCGCCCCAAGCUGGAUGUGUCUUGUCUCUUGGGCUGUUCCUCUUCUGCCCAUGGUGGGCAGUGGUGCAAUGCUCAGGGAUUAUCACUGCACUUGCACUAAGGAAGGACCCUGAAGGGCAGAAGUAGGAACUUAACAAGUUCAAAGGCCUCUAGGUUACAAAGACAGACACUGUCACAGCAAAGAGCGGUCAGGUGUGGUGGCCCAUGCCUUAAGUCCCAGCACUUAGGAGGCAGGGGCUGACAGAGCUCCAAGAAUUCAAGGCCAGCCUGCUCUACUGUAGUCAGUUGCAGACCAGCUGGGGCUACGCUGUGCCCUGUGCCCAAACAACAAAAGUAUACCUGGCGGCCGGGGCGUGGUCAGGGAAGUCCCACCUAGAAUCCCCAGUAAGGGGCUAGGGGCGUGGUCAGAAUGGAGCCCCACCCUGGAUCUUCCCAGUGAGGGGGCUGAGGGCGUGGUCAGGAUGGAGCCCCACCUAGAAUACCCCCAGUGAGGGCUGGGGGCGUGGUCAGGGGUGGAGCUCUAGAAAACCCUGGGCUUAAUGCCUGGUACUAAAUAAUAACAAAAACUGAACUGCUGUUAUGCCUUUGAAGAUCACUGGUCCUUGCUGUGGACCUCUGCCCAGGCUCCUGUUACCGUGUUUUGUGCCUCUGACUAGUCUAAGGGAGAACGGGAUGUCAGAGGUGUGUCUACCUCUAUCCAGCUCAGUGGACACGGUGGAUAUGGGAAAGGUGUGUGCACUGGGCACUCCUGUGUGCUGUGUGCUGCCCCUCCCCCGUUUUCUAGCCCUUCAGCCCUCCACAGGUUUAUGACUGAGGGCGCAGGGCGCCUCACACCUCGCUGUUGCCUGCCUCACCUCUGAUCUUUCCCAGCCCGUAUCUGACUUAUCACCAGCCCCAAUAACAUCCUCCGGGCACCUUGUUCCAGACAGUCCGAGGAAUAACUACGUACUGGCUUUCCUGAUAGUGCUAACUCAAGGUGACCCUUGUCUUGCUGAGCAGAAGUGGAACGACUCACCUGUGUGGUGGCUGAGGUUGCUGGAAAACCGUCUUCUCCCUUAUGGACACUCAAGGACCCUGCUGGGCAGUGAUUAACGCCCCAGCUAAAUCCAUUCCUGCACAUAAACAGAAGAAUCAAGGUUUCACGGUUUGCUUGUGUUGUUUUACUUUGAGGCAGGAUGUCUCUGUGCAGCCUGUCUUUCCUGGAACUCACAGAGCCACCUGCUCCUGCCUCCAGAGUGAUGGAAUUAAA